ensembl:lncRNA
ACUGGGAUUGGGGGGAUGGAUGGGAUCAUACUGGGAUGGAUGGGAUCAUCACUGGGAUUGGUGGGAUCACUGGGAUCGGUGGGAUCGCUGGGAUGGAUGGGAUCACUGAGAUGUCUGGGAUUGGUGGGAUGGGUGGGAUCAACACUGACGUCAUGUGAUCGAUGGUGACACGGGUGGGAUCACAAAUGGGAUCAUAGUUGGUAUCAGUGGGAUCACUGGGAUGGAUGGGAUCAUUGGUGGGACUGCUGGGACGUGCGGGAUGGAUGGGAUCAUCAGUGGGGUCACGGGACCAAUGGGUCACUGGUGGCAUCAUCGGUGGGAUCAGUGGGAUUGCUGGUAUCGCUGGGAUAAAUGGGACCAUCUGUAGGAUGGGUUGGAUUGCUGGGGGGGUCAUGGGAUCAAUGGGAGACACGUCACCAUUGGGAUCAUCGUGGGGUCAUGGGAUCAAUGGGAGACAUGUCACGAUUGGGAUCAUCGUGGGGUCAUGGGAUCAAUGGGAGACACGUCACCAUUGGGAUCAUCAGUGGGGUCACGGGAUCGAUGGGUGACAUGACACCAUUGGGAUCAUCGGUGGGGUCAUGGGAUCAGUGGGAGACACGUCCCCAUUGGGAUCAUCGGUGGGGUCAUGGGAUGGAUGGGUGACACGUCACCAUUGGGAUCAUCGGUGGGGUCAUGGGAUCAAUGGGAGACACAUCACCAUUGGGAUCAUCGGUGGGGUCAUGGGAUCAGUGGGAUUGGUGGGAUGGAUGGGAUCAUCAGUGGGGUCAGGGAAUCAAUGGGUGAUAUGGGUGGGAUUGUGAGUGGGAUUACUGGUGGCAUCCAUGGGGUCAGAAUGAUUGGUGGGGUCACGUGGAUGGGUGGGAUCGCUGGGAUGGAUGGGAUCGCUGGGAUGGUUGGGAUCAUUGGGAUGGAUGGGAUCACUGAAUGGUGAGUGGGGUCACUGAGAUGCAUGGGAUGGGUGGGAUCACUGUAUGAUAGGUGGGGUCACUGGAAUGGAUGGCAUCAUUGGAUGAUGGACGGGAUCAUUGGGAUGGAUGGGAUCAUUGAAUGGUGGGUGUGAUGACUGGGAUCAUUGGGAUGGAUGGGAUCAUUGAUGGGAUGGGUGGGAUCACUGGUGGCAUCAGUGGGGUCACCGAGGUGGUGGUUAUGGGAUGGAUGGGAUCAUUGAAUGAUGGGUGGGAUCGCUGGGAUGGAUGGCAUCAUUGGGAUGGAUGGGAUCACCAAAUGGUUGGUGGGAUCGCCGGGAUCACUGGGAUGGGUGGGAUCACUGAACGAUGGGUGGGGUCACUGGGAUGGAUGGCAUCAUUGGUUGAUGGGUGGGAUCGCUUGGAUGGUUGGGAUCAUUGGUGUGAUGGGUGGGCUCGCUGGUGGCAUCAGUGGGGUCACUGAGGUGGUGGUGCUGAGAUGGAUGGGAUCAUUGAAUGAUAGGUGGGUCACUGGGAUGGAUGGGAUCACUGGGAUGGAUGGGAUCACCGAAUGGUGGGUGGGAUUGCUGGGAUCACUGGGAUGGAUGGGAUCACUGGGAUGAGUGGGAUCAUUGGGAUGGAUUGGAACAUUGAAUGGUGGG